rnacentral:lncRNA from 1 species
AAAGCAGUGUGUAAGACUGGUGAAGGAGAACAUGCCAAGAUGCAUGAAAACUGUUAUUAAAAACCAGGGUUAAUGAACAAAAUAUUGAUUUCUGAACUCCUUUUUAUGAAUAUAAACUUAUUUUCCUUGCAUGAUUUGCUCUGCAUCUUUUUUGUCAUUUCUCAUUUUUUGCAAAUAAAUGCUCUAAAUGACAAUAUUUUUAUUUGUAAUUUGGGAGAAAUGUUGUCAGUAGUUUAUAGAAUAAAACAACAAUGUUUAUUUUACUCAAACAUAUACCUAUAAAGAGCAACAUCAGAGAAACUGAUUCAGAAACUGAAGUGGUCUUUUACUUUUUUUCCAGAGCUGUACAUGUAUCAAUUGAAAAUAGACAGUAAUUCCACCAACCAUUCACCCACAAGCUAAUUUGUGGUCUCAUCAUUUUCAGUUUCAGUUCUAGUGCUUUAUAUAGUUAUACUUUAUGGGCUUUUUUAACAUUUGUGCUUUCCAUUUUUGCGCUUCAUACUAAACUAACACGUAUCUACUUUUGAGCUACAUCUUGAGUUGAGUGUUGACUGUUUUUUCUGCAGAUUUCAGAAGAAAAAACACAGAGAGGAAGUGUGUAAAGCCUGCUUUUGGAGAGGUGUGAAAGCCCCUCACAAGCCCGCUUACAUAGCCACUCUUCUUUUAUCUGUGUGCACGUUCUAUGCAGAAGAUAAUAGUAGCAAGAUGAAGAGCAGGACUGUGUGGAGUGCAGCUCGAAACAUGGCACCUCAGAGUUUCCUCCUGGCUGUAAUCCAUCUAUCAGCAUACGUCUAUGGUAAUGUCAGCGUGGAGCAAUGGCCGCCCACAGCACAGCACUCAACAGGAGAAAACACCACCCUGUUCUGCAGGAUCCGCGCAGACAGAGAAACGAACAUUACCAAAUGCCGCAUAGAUUGGUACAGGCAGAGCGAGGAUGGCAGGCUUCCAGAGAUCAGACAGCUCUUACAGUUCAGAGGAAGGUUCCAGGAGCAUGUGAAUGACAGCCAGUGGAGCAGCAACCUCUCACUGACUGCACUUGAGCUGAAUGACACCGGCAGGUUCUUCUGCAACUACUUCUGCCUGAUUAACAGAACAUUACCGGCACGUCAGUAUGGUGGAACAGGCACAAAUCUCAGUGUCUAUGAAGAGAAAAGGGCUCCUAGGAUAACAGAUGCUGUUAUAUCUACUACUACUAUUAAUGCUGGUACAUUUGAUGAGGAAACCACAAAUGAUGUCCUUUUCACAAUCCUUCUUUUUCUUCCUUUAUCAUUAAAGCUGGUUGUAUCUGUGUUUUUAUGCACUUACACAUUGUUUUCAUUCUACGUCCGCUGUUAUUGCUUGUUCUCAUUUACUCAUUUAAUAAGAAUCUAAAGUCCUUUUUUGCUGAAUCUGUCUCCUGAUUAAUUUCACACCUGUGGUUGUUGUGUUCUGUACAGCAGUUCUAUUACUUUCCGUUAGCAUCAGAUGACUUAUUUCUUCCAUCUGUUAAAUGUUAAGCACCCACAGGCUCAUGGCCACUUAUCUGCACCCACAGACUGUAUCGUUCCACCUAGUGAAACCUUUUUGUAAUCACUUCUGAUGAUCUAAGAGACAGACAGUGUUGGCUUGAAGUGGGUGGGCUACAAAGGUGCAGUAUGAAAGCAGGCUUAACUACAGGCCAUCUGAACCAUCAGAAGCUGCUUAUUACAUUUCAUAAAUACCUAAAGUCAGGCUCAAGAUGAUGUAUUGCUAUUUUAUUAUUGUUUAGUACAUACUGUAUAUAUUGUACACAAUAUUGAAUGACUUUAACUGAGA